rnacentral:rRNA from 1 species
AUGAGAUUUCCCAUUCCGCAAGGAAGUAAGAUCCCUGAAAGAUGAUCAGGUUGAUAGGUCUGAGGUGGAAGCGUGGUGACACGUGGAGCUGACAGAUACUAAUAGAUCGAGGACUUAACCUAUAUU